CCACCUUUGAACCCUCUUCUUCUCUUGAGCUCUCUCUAAUACUCAAACCCUAUCGUCUUCUCCGACUAAAUUCCACCGGCGUCCAUGGCUUCUAAGGCCAUGAACGGCCUAUGCUCUCUCCCCUUCACUCCAAAUCAUGGUGGUUCAAGGUUUUUGAGGUUCAACCGUAACAACGUCUGUCCAGAUCCUCUGCCGAUUUGAGUUCCUGUGGCUUCUCCGGCUCCGUUCGGAUGUGUUUGAGCAGUGAAAGGCCUAACUAUGGUCCAGACCUGUUCGAGACCAGAUCCUUUCCAAGACUUCUCGUCUCUAGGGUUUGUGAGAAACCUUAAAAGAUGUUCAAGGUUCUUUCUUCCUUUAUUUUCUUAGAUCAGUGAUAGAUAUGUGUUACACUCGAGGUUUUAAAGCUUUUCCCCAAUCAUCUCUUUCAAAACUAGUCUGUUCAAUCUAGGGUUUUCAAAAAACUCUUAAAAUGAUUUUUUGUUUCUUCUUCUUCUUCUUCGUCUUCUUUUUUCUUUAUGUGAAUCUUCCUGUAUAUAUUUUGUUCUUAUAUGUUUUUGCUUGUGCAUAUCUUCUCUUAUGUUCUUAUGUUUUUCCAUUAUUUUGCAUGUUCUUCUACUUGUACUCUGUUCUCUCUUCUACUGGUUUUCUACAGUAUGCUUUACGUGUCUAUCUUAUGUGUGUUCCUUUACUAUUUUUCUUCUUGCUGAGUUUGUUUGAGUUCUAAACCUAUACCAUCUACUUUCGCAUAAGUGUUAUGUCACCUCUUUUCUCCCCUGAACUUGCUUAAGUUCUGAGCUUUUUUUAGACCUGUUCUUUAUGAUUUUCUCACUCUGUUUCUUCAAAAUUUCUAUUGUAUCCGUGUACUUCUUCAUGAGACUCUACGAGUCUGUUUCAAGGGCUUUCCCUCUCUUUUGUGUACCCUACUCGAAUUUGAAACCCUAGGGUUUGGUGUUCCUGCUAGUUUUUGGUCUUUAAGUUUAAACUAGGGUUCUACUUUGGAUUGGACUGGGAUCUUUUGCUUAUGAUUCCGAAAUUUCUAUGCAGUCUUCUUUUUCUUGUUUUACACGUGUGUGCUUUAUAUAUGAAAGCUUUUCCUUUCAAAAGUAUUCUGCCAACUUGUAAUUGAUUC
rnacentral:lncRNA from 1 species